rnacentral:lncRNA from 1 species
AUGCAUUGCAGUUCACAGCACCUGGUCACCUUUCAGACAAACCACCUUACUUACUUCCUAUUCUACAGCUGCGGAUUUCCUAUGCAUAGAAUCCUCCUCUGGGACUCACCAUACUGUGUGUGCAGGCUCCACUGGGCCCUCCAUGUUGCCUUGAGAGAUCUGAGGACUGGUGCGACAAUACUGAUACACCUGUUUCUCCUGCUGCAACUGGUAAAGUCCUUUGUCUCUGACUCAAGAGUCCCACGUCAGCAUCCAUGGAACUGCGACAGGCUUACUUAUCAACUUGUAUGGUUUUUUGUUGGAAGUUAUCCUGCUUCUGCGAUGUCAAAUUUAUUGAAAUUUGAAGCUGAAAGUAUGAUUCUGAGACAAGGACACGUACCCUUGAAAUACUACUUGGUUCGUGCUGGACAUUUAAAGGUCAUGUCAAGUAAUAUAAGCAUGAACAAAAAUACCAACUCUGAAAUUUUAAGUGCGUUUGGAGAAGGCAACUUCAUAGGGGAUUUUUAUGGUAUUCUUGUACAGAGAGUACAACAAUAUCAAGAAACAUGCAACUUCCUAAGGGAAAUUACCAUAAAUUAAUUACUAUGGUUUUUCCAGUGGUCAUGUAUGGAUGUGAGAGUUGGACUGUGAAGAAAGCUGAGUGCCAAAGAAUUGAUGCUUUUGAACUGUGGUGUUGGAGAAGACUCUUGAGAGUCCCUUGGACUGCAAGGAGAUCCAACCAGUCCAUUCUAAAGGAGAUCAGUCUUGGGUGUUCAUUGGAAGGACUGAUGCUAAAGCUCAAACUCCAGUACUUUGGCCACCUCAUGUGAAGAGUUGACUCAUUGGAAAAGACCCUGAUGCUGGGAGGGAUUGGGGGCAGGAGGAGAAGGGAACGACAGAGGAUGAGAAGGCUGGAUGGCAUCACCGACUCGAUGGAUGUGAGUUUGAGUAAAC